rnacentral:rRNA from 3 species
UCCCUACGGGGUGCACCAGGCGCGAAAACUUUACAAUGCGGGCAACCGUGAUAAGGGAACCUCGAGUGCCUGUAUAUGCAGGCUGUCCAGGUGUCUAAAACACACCUGAAGAAAGGGCCGGGCAAGACCGGUGCCAGCCGCCGCGGUAAUACA